UGGGGAAUAUUGCACAAUGGGGGAAACCCUGAUGCAGCGACGCCGCGUGAACGAAGAAGGUAUUCGUAUCGUAAAGUUCUGUCCUAUGGGAAGAUAAUGACAGUACCAUAGAAGAAAGCUCCGGCUAAAUACGUGCCAGCAGCCGCGGUAAUACGUAUGGAGCGAGCGUUGUCCGGAAUUAUUGGGCGUAAAGGGUACGCAGGCGGUUUAAUAAGUCGAAUGUUAAAGAUCGGGGCUCAACCCCGCAAAGCAUUGGAAACUGAUAAACUUGAGUAGUGGAGAGGAAAGUGGAAUUCCUAGUGUAGUGGUGAAAUACGUAGAGAUUAGGAGGAAUACCAGUAGCGAAGGCGACUUUCUGGACACAAACUGACGCUGAGGUACGAAAGCGUGGGGAGCAAACAGG
rnacentral:rRNA from 1 species